AUUGAACGCUGGCGGCAUGCUUUACACAUGCAAGUCGAACGGCAGCGCGGGUCAACCUGGCGGCGAGUGGCGAACGGGUGCGUAAUAUAUCGGAACGUACCCAUCAGUGGGGGAUAACGUAGCGAAAGUUACGCUAAUACCUCAUACGAUCUACGGAUGAAAGUAGGGGAGCGCAAGGCCUUCUGCUUUUUGAGCGGCCGAUCGCUGAUUAGCUAGUUGGUGAGGUAAAGGCUUACCAAGGCGACGAUCAGUAGCUGGUCUGAGAGGACGACCAGCCACACUGGAACUGAGACACGGUCCAGACUCCUACGGGAGGCAGCAGUGGGGAAUUUUGGACAAUGGGCGCAAGCCUGAUCCAGCAAUGCCGCGUGAGUGAAGAAGGCCUUCGGGUUGUAAAGCUCUUUUGUCAGGGAAGAAACGGUAGAGGCUAAUAUCCUUUGCUAAUGACGGUACCUGAAGAAUAAGCACCGGCUAACUACGUG
rnacentral:rRNA from 1 species